AGAUUGAACGCUGGCGGCAGGCCUAACACAUGCAAGUCGAGCGGUAGAGAGGUGCUUGCACCUCUUGAGAGCGGCGGACGGGUGAGUAAUGCCUAGGAAUCUGCCUAGUGGUGGGGGAUAACGUUCGGAAACGGACGCUAAUACCGCAUACGUCCUACGGGAGAAAGCGGGGGACCUUCGGGCCUCGCGCCAUUAGAUGAGCCUAGGUCGGAUUAGCUAGUUGGUGAGGUAAUGGCUCACCAAGGCGACGAUCCGUAACUGGUCUGAGAGGAUGAUCAGUCACACUGGAACUGAGACACGGUCCAGACCUCCGUACGGGAGCAGCAGGUGGGGAAUA
rnacentral:rRNA from 1 species